AGUGAACGCUGGCGGUAGGCCUAACACAUGCAAGUCGAACGGCAGCACAGUAAGAGCUUGCUCUUACGGGUGGCGAGUGGCAGACGGGUGAGGAAUACAUCGGAAUCUACUUUUUCGUGGGGGAUCACGUAGGGAAACUUACGCUAAUACCGCAUACGACCUACGGGUGAAAGCAGGGGAUCUUCGGACCUUGCGCGAUUGAAUGAGCCGAUGUCGGAUUAGCUAGUUGGCGGGGUAAAGGCCCACCAAGGCGACGAUCCGUAGCUGGUCUGAGAGGAUGAUCAGCCACACUGGAACUGAGACACGGUCCAGACUCCUACGGGAGGCAGCAGUGGGGAAUAUUGGACAAUGGGCGCAAGCCUGAUCCAGCCAUACCGCGUGGGUGAAGAAGGCCUUCGGGUUGUAAAGCCCUUUUGUUGGGAAAGAAAAGUAGCAGGUUAAUACCCCGCUGUUCUGACGGUACCCAAAGAAUAAGCACCGGCUAACUUCGUG
rnacentral:rRNA from 1 species